AGUGGGGACACUGAAGUUACAGUGUGGCUUGUCCAAGUUUACUUUUGGAAUGCUGACAUUUCCCUGAGAAGUCUUAAUGUUCCAUCUUUAGCUGCACAAAAGUCUGAAUAUAACCCACACAUUUCUGGUUUCUGUGAUUUCCUACACUCUUAACACUGAGCCAAAUUAUGAACCAAAUGACGAAAGUUUGAUUUGGGACCAAAUGCCUCAACUCACCUGGUCGGCAAUCUCCUGGACUUCUGGUGUGGCAGGUCUGGCCUCCGACAAGCCUCCUGGGAUCAUUCUGGUGGGAUACGACAGCAUUGCUAAAUGGAAGCUGGCUGUGGUGAUGUAGGCCUAGAGUCACAGCUGCAGGAGGAUUGAGAAUCUGAGACCAACUUGGGCUAUGUGAAUCUUCAUGGUUGAUAAUUUCUAGAGCAGUAAUAUUUAAAGACAACUUUGGAAGGUGAUUGUGUCAUGAAGAAGAAUCUGUGUCCUUACAAAGGGGGACUUAGAGAAACUCCUUGCUCCUCCCACUGUGAUGACCAGUGAGAAGAUGGUCAUCUAUGAACCAGGAAGCCGGCUGCUACCAGAUGUUGAAUCUGCCAGAACCUUGCUCUUGGGUGUCCUAGCCUCCAGAAAUGUUAAGUAUAUGCCUCACCCCUCAUCAAGGAAACAUCUGCUUGCACAGACAGAGGCCACUGAGAGAAAACCACACUGAUCAGAAGGAAGAGAACAAGUGACCUUGUGGUGCUCAGCCCAACUGACUCAUCUAUGACACAAUUCCUGUACCUAAGGCUCAGCAGACAGAGUGUAACAACCAGAGGAACAUUGCUAUGAGACUGUAUUUCCUAGAAAUGACAGGGAAGUUUUCCCCCAUGAUACCCUAACAAUAUGGCUGCAUAAACAACACCAAUAGACAUGCUAACAUAGAAGGGGAAAUCUCACUGGGCCCCAUCUGUAGAAAAAGAACUGCAUAGAACUAAGGAAUAUUGAGAGUGGGACAGUCUUCCCCAGGGAAGAACCCUUAAAUUGCUUAUCCAAUGUCAAAUACUCAGCCCUGAAAUCAUAUAUAUAUAUAUAUAUAUAUACAUACAUAUAUAUAAUAAAUCACAUAUAUAUGUAUAUAUAUAUGCAACAUUAUAUAAACUGAGCAGGUUGUAUUUAUACACUUAGGAAUACAUAUGUGUUUGUGUGUGUGUGUGCGUGCAUGUGCGUGUGUGUGUGUGUGUGUGUGUGUGUGUGUGUAACAACAAUUGAAGAAAUUGAAGCCAUGAGUUUGGCAGAGAGCAAAGGAGUUAGAUAAAGGUGAAAGGUUGUAGGAAGAAAAUGGAAGGGAGAAAUGAUGUAACUAUUUUAAUUAAAAACAUCCUGUUCAAUAAAGAAGCUUUUCUUAGUUAUGGAUAGAAUAACAAUACCAAAAUCCAAUAAGAAUACAGACAUUUACUAAUAUUUUUACUGUAUGGUACAGUGGAGGGAUGGAAAACACAAUUUUCAAUGACUGUAGUGUUCACUGCUUUUUAAAGCCACAAGAAAUACAUUAAAAGUUUUGAUCUUAUAUUGAACUGCAAAGAAGUCAGAACAGAACCAAAGGCUGGAACUCAUGCAAAUCAUGUCUUCUGACCACAGUGUGGUGAAGCUAGACCUUGGGAAACUAGAGGCAACACAUCUGAAAACUCUAAAUGUUUACAUACACAAAAUGCAGUUGUAAAAAUCCCACAGGUAAUACAAGAAAUCACAAGGGAACUUAGAAAAUAUUUCAAAGUGAGUAAUAAUGAAAAUGCUUCAUAACACACCUUUUGGAUACAGCUAAGGCAGGUUUUUCUGUGUGUGUGGGGGAAUGACAGCCUUAAGUAGAAUAGUAAAGAAUGCCUGAAAAUAAAUAGAUUCACCAAUCUUAAGAUGUUAGAAAAAGAAUAACUGUGUAGAAAAGAGAAAGUGGAAGGGAAGAGACUCGGUACAAAAAAGGGGGGCUGUUGCAGUGAUAAACCUGAACAUGAGGUUCUUAGACCUUUGAAAUUUUUUGGAGUGUGUGUGGAAGAGUUUAGAACUUCAGUCUAGGAGAGACCCCACACGUUGUAAGCAGAACUCAAUAAAUCAUUCUGGUGAGAUUUGAGAAGACAAAAUUUCAAAGAGAAAAUGCCUAAAAUAGAGGUCCUGCUCAUGAGGCUUUAGAAAGAAAGUAACAAGGGGCCCAUUGGCUAGAAGUAAUAUGUGCCGUAUUCUGGCAAAGACUCUGGCUGCAUUCUGUCCAUGUCCUAAGAACUUGAGUGGUCUCAUUUGUUUGGAAAAGGAGCUAUCUAGACAGAAUGACACUAAGAUUAUGUCAUGGCUUCUGCUUACUGUUCUUAGUUUAUAGUCAGAAGAGCAAUGAAUGGAGUAGAAAAAGGAAAAAUGUGGAAUUUGGGGCUGGUGGAGUGAGAUUAAAGUUUCAGAUAAUGCAGGAACUGAGAAAGAAGUUGCAACUGCUCAAGAAAUGAGGCCCCAACUGAAGGGAAACCUCGUGCUUUUUGUGAUUUUUGUGCUGUGUGAUGAGGUAAUAGAAAGGAAGUCUCAAGGGCAAAAUCCCACCCAUCAAAGUUUCCAUCUUGUGAAGCUGCAAAUGCUUUUGAAUGGAUAGAGUUUAAGGGGACAAUACUGCUGGGGGUCUUCCUCCAAAAUCCCACAAGAAAGAAAACAAUAAACUUGGAAAAUGUUUUCUGGGACCAGCACAUGGAGACUAUGUAAUCUAAAGGAGUUAAACCACGUCUACUGGCGGCAGAACUUGGGAGCAUUGUGCAUAUAGUUUCACAGGCAUGAAAGAGUUAAGGAUGAGGGGUCAUGGUAGUUUGUGCUGGGUUUCUUGAAGGCCACUGGGCCAGGGAAUGUGUGCCAGGUUCAGAGCCACUCUAAGGAGGCUCUCAGGGGACAUUUUGUAAAGUUGUGAAGAUGAAGUUUAGGAUUAAAUAGAGACCCCAGAAUGUCAGAGAUGCCAGGGACAUGGGACAUCUGCUGCAGAAAGCUGCAGGCAUGGAGCAGAGCCAGCCCAGGACAGAGGUUAUAUGUGCUGCAGGAGACAGAGAUAGGGAGACAGGGCUCCCCAGACCCUUUGGAUUCCAGAUGAUCUCAUCACAAGCCCCAGAUGAUAAACAUGGACCUGCAGGAUUUGUUGUUUGUCCUGCUGGGUUUUGGACUUACCAUUUCUUCCUAUGUCCCUCCUUUUCCCUGUUGGAAUUGGGAGUUUAUUUCAUGCCAUGGUAUAUAUUGGAGGUGUGUGGCUUCUAUUUUAUUUCAUAAGAGAUCGCAGUUAAGAGUUUGCCUUGAGUCUCAGUUGACAAUUGAACUUUGGGCUGCUAAACAUUGUUGGAACUGCUAAAAACUGUGGGAACUUUUGCAGUUGGGCUGAAUGCAAUUUUCACAUUAUGAGAUGGCCAUUGGCCUGUGAGGACAGAGGAUAGGUGGCCAUGGUGUAAAAGUGAUGUGUUUGAGCAUCGAGUUGGCAAGAGAUAGAUUUGUGAUGGUGCAUAUUGUCAGCUUGACAAGAUCUAGCAUCACCUAGGUGACAAAAUUCUAUGAAUGUUCAUGAGGGAGCUUCUAAAUUGGGUCAACUGACCCAUACUAAAGGGUGGCACCAUCCCAUUUGUUAGAGACUGACUGAAUAAAGCAGAGAAAGCAAGCAGAGCACCAGAACCCAUCACUCUGCCUCUGGAUUACGGAUGCAAUGCAACCAGUUGCUUUGUAUUUCUGCUGCCAUGUCUUCCUGUACCGAUAGACGGAAACCUCAAACUAUGAAUCAGGAUAGUCCCUCCGUCCCUCCCUCUGUCCCUCCCUCCAUCCCUCCCUCCCUCGAAUUACCUUUGUGAGGUACUUUGUCACAGCGAUGAGAAAGUAACCAAUACAGAAAGAAAUAAUAAAUAACACACGCAAAAAUUAAUAAGUGGGAAACAUAUAUAAUGGAGAGAGAGCAACAAAACCAAAAGAUCAUAAUUUGAAAAGACCAACAAAUUGAGAAUGUUUUGCUGGGAUUAAGGGCAUAUAUGACAGAGAGAUUAAGGAGAAAAGAUUGAAAAGUAGAAAUACCUAAGAAAAAGGAGAUAUUACUACAGAUCUUACCUGCAUUAAAGUGAUAUCAAGAUUGUGUGAACGAUUUUAUUUCAAUAUACUUGAAAAUUAAGAUAAAACAGAAAUGUUCCUAGAAAAAACAACAACUAAAAAUGAUUCAAAAAGAAAAAACUUUGAAUAAUCUUAUGCUACUAAAGAAAAUGAAUCAAUAUUCAAAAACUUUCCUGAAAAGGAAACCCUAUGUAGAGGCGGGUUGGUCAGAGGUCUAACAACUACUCAAUGCAGAAUCCAGAAUGACUCAAAGUCUUCCUGAAAGUACAAAGAGAUAUCAAUGCUCAUAACUCACUACUGGAAGCAAUUGCAUCAUUGAUAUCAAAACUGCACCAAUACGGAAUAGAGGAAGGGAAAUUACCAAAUAAUCUCUCUUGAAAUGGAUGCAAAAACCUGAAACCAAGUCCAAAAACACAGAAAAAGGAUAAAGACCAAGUUGACUUUAUUUCAUAAAGUUGAAGGACUUCAGGAACCUAAUAUGAUUUAUCACCUUUUCAGAAUGACAUAAAAAAUUUAAAAUUACAGAAAACUUGUUCACAUUCAAUGUUGAAUUAUGAUAACCACAUGAAGCUCUUCAACGAGAAAUGAAAUAAGCUUAAUAUGGUAAACACCAUCUGUAAGGGCCCCUCUUCCAUGCAUGACGGUGAACAUGGGAAGCAUUUAUUUGAAAGCAAAGAGAAGCCAAUACUCCAUCCUUUCUAAUCAGGACUGUAGUAGGAAUCCUAGGAAAUGGAAUAAGUGAGGAUUAAGAAGGAAAAAAUGAAGCAAUCAAUCACCAUCUUCUGUGACAUGUGCCACACACACAGAUAUCUCUCACACUUGUGUGAGACAUCUCUCACACAAGUAAAUCAGAUAAACUAAAAACACAAAUAAAAAAAUCAUUAAACUGGGAGCAGACCCUUCUUAGUAUGGGGCCAUCGGCAACUGUGUCAGAUAGUAAUUCAAGAGCAUGAUUGGAAUGGAUACAGUCUGAAGAUGCUAUGAAAUGUAUCUCAUAACAUCAUUUGUAGUCUAUGAGGAAAUGGGAAAACAGGGUCUGAUUCUGUUUAUAUGACACUGGAAACUGGAAACUGGGCAGAUUAAACCAUUGUUCAGGGUGGCUGCACAGGCUGUAAAACAGACUAAACAAGGAGUAUCACAAAAACAA